rnacentral:rRNA from 1 species
CAGUCGCCGCGGUAAAACGUAGGGUGCAAGCGUUAAUCGGAAUUACUGGGCGUAAAGCGUGCGCAGGCGGUUUGUUAAGACAGAUGUGAAAUCCCCGGGCUCAACCUGGGAACUGCAUUUGUGACUGGCAAGCUAGAGUCUGGCAGAGGGGGGUGGAAUUCCGCGUGUAGCAGUGAAAUGCGUAGAUAUGCGGAGGAACACCGAUGGCGAAGGCAGCCCCCUGGGCCAACACUGACGCUCAUGCACGAAAGCGUGGGGAGCAAACAGGAUUAGAUACCCCUGUAGUCCCUGUCUCUUAUAC